rnacentral:rRNA from 1 species
GACGAACGCUGGCGGCGUGCUUAACACAUGCAAGUCGAACGGAAAGGCCCUGCUUUUGUGGGGUGCUCGAGUGGCGAACGGGUGAGUAACACGUGAGUAACCUGCCCUUGACUUUGGGAUAACUUCAGGAAACUGGGGCUAAUACCGGAUAGGAGCUCCUGCUGCAUGGUGGGGGUUGGAAAGUUUCGGCGGUUGGGGAUGGACUCGCGGCUUAUCAGCUUGUUGGUGGGGUAGUGGCUUACCAAGGCUUUGACGGGUAGCCGGCCUGAGAGGUGACCGGCCACAUUGGGACUGAGAUACGGCCCAGACUCCUACGGGAGGCAGCAGUGGGGAAUAUUGCACAAUGGGCGGAAGCCUGAUGCAGCAACGCCGCGUGCCGGAUGACGGCCUUCGGGUUGUAAACCGCUUUCGCCUGUGACGAAGCGUGAGUGACGGUAAUGGGUAAAGAAGCACCGGCUAACUACGUG